rnacentral:rRNA from 1 species
GACGAACGCUGGCGGCGUGCUUAACACAUGCAAGUCGAGCGAGGCCCUCCUUCGGGAGGUGUCCUAGCGGCGAACGGGUGAGUAACACGUGGGCAACCUGCCCUCAGCUCUGGGAUAACCCCAAGAAAUUGGGGCUAAUACCGGAUACGACCGCUGACCGCAUGGUCUGGUGGUGGAAAGAUUUAUCGGCUGAGGAUGGGCCCGCGGCCUAUCAGCUUGUUGGUGGGGUAGUGGCCUACCAAGGCGACGACGGGUAGCCGGCCUGAGAGGGUGACCGGCCACACUGGGACUGAGACACGGCCCAGACUCCUACGGGAGGCAGCAGUGGGGAGUAUUGCGCAAUGGGCGGAAGCCUGACGCAGCGACGCCGCGUGGGGGAUGACGGCCUUCGGGUUGUAAACCUCUUUCAGCAGGGACAAAGCGAAAGUGACGGUACCUGCAGAAAAAGCGCCGGCUAACUACGUGCCAGCAGCCGCAGUAAAAC